rnacentral:lncRNA from 1 species
CCUGGCUGAGUUCCCUAUGCUGAAGGGCUCAACAGUUUACCUGACCGACUAAGAGCUCAGGGCUGUGACUGGAAUUCGGAAAGGAUUUGCACUGGUGGUUUUUUAAGGGCAGAGAAGCUCAGCGGGUCCCAGCACCCAGAAGGAAGCUCCCCUGCUGCAUCCUAGGCUCCUAGGGCAGAGAAGCUGAGCCGGUCCCAGCACCCAGAAGGAAGCUCUCUGCCUCCAUCCCAG